rnacentral:rRNA from 1 species
AUUGAACGCUGGCGGCACGCCUAACACAUGCAAGUCGAGCGGUAGCAUGGUUAGUAGCAAUACUAACUGAUGACGAGCGGCGGACGGGUGAGGAACACGUAGGAACCUGCCCAAGAGAGGGGGAUAACUAAGGGAAACUUUAGCUAAUACCGCAUAAUUCUCUGAGGAGAUAAGUUGCCCGUAAGGGUAGCGCUUUUGGAGGGGCCUGCGUCCGAUUAGUUAGUUGGUGAGGUAAUGGCUCACCAAGACUGUGAUCGGUAACUGGUCUGAGAGGACGACCAGUCACACUGGGACUGAGACACGGCCCAGACUCCUACGGGAGGCAGCAGUGGGGAAUCUUGGACAAUGGGGGCAACCCUGAUCCAGCGAUGCCGCGUGGGUGAAGAAGGCCUUCGGGUUGUAAAGCCCUUUAGGCUGGGAAGAAGUUUAUGGGAUGAAUAAUCCUGUAAAUUGACGGUACCAGCAGAAUAAGCACCGGCAAACUCCGUGCCAGCAGCCGCGGUAA